rnacentral:tRNA from 1 species
GCCCCGGUAGCUCAGCCUGGUCGGAGCGCCCGCCUCGUAAGCAAACACUGAGUAAGCGGGAGGUCCCGGGUUCGAAUCCCGGCCGGGGCU